GCUUGAUGCGAAGUCGGCCAUAUUGGAUAACAGCCGAGGCAGUUCCGAAUGACUGAACGACAAAGGAAUAUUGAAACUUUUUCCAAUAUCGUCUGCUUUUCUAAACAUAUUUGUCAAGAAUGAGACGUCGUCGUGUAUAUAUUUACAUGAUUUGCUAUAGAAUCGAUCAUUUCAUUAUAUAUAGAUUACACUCAGCUUUAUAAAGAUAGGACCCGGGAAUGAGCUCGGGAAAUAGUGAUCGAACAGACUGUUAAAGAAGUUGUAAAAUACAUUUCCGACAUCUCACUUGGUAGCUUACUCACACUCUAG